rnacentral:rRNA from 2 species
UAAAAGACUCUCGGCAACGGAUAUCUCGGCUCUCGCAUCGAUGAAGAACGUAGCGAACUGCGAUACUUGGUGUGAAUUGCAGAAUCCCGUGAACCAUCGAGUCUUUGAACGCAAGUUGCGCCCGAAGCCAUUAGGCCAAGGGCACGUCUGCCUGGGCGUCACGC